GUCGACGUGGGACAGUGGUUACUCCGUUCGGCUGCUAGUCAUGUGACAUAUUAGUUUACCGGAUGCCUUCGGGCGCGUCAGUUCGAAUCUGGCCGUCGACG